rnacentral:rRNA from 1 species
AGAGAGAGACAUGCGCGCAUAUCAAUAAGCGGAGGAAAAGAAACUAACUAAGGAUUCCCUCAGUAACGGCGAGUGAAGCGGGAAGAGCUCAAAUUUGAAAUCUUCAAGGGUUCUACCUUUACGAAUUGUAGUUUAAAGAAGUGUUUUCUGUUGAGGUUUUGGUAAAAGUUCUUUGGAAUAGGACAUCAUAGAGGGUGAGAAUCCCGUAUUUGACCAUUAUUUCCAGCUUUGUGAUACACUUUCAAAGAGGUCGGAUUGUUUGGGAAUGCAGUCCAAAAUGGGUGGUAAAUUUCAUCUAAAGCUAAAUAUUGGCGAGAGACCGAUAGCGAACAAGUACCGUGAGGGAAAGAUGAAAAGAACUUUGAAAAGAGAGUUAAACAGUACGUGAAAUUGUCAAAAGGGAAGCGUUUGACACCAGUGUUGUUUUCUCGAAAAUCAAUUAAAGAACUGUUUAUGCUAAGUUGUUUAGACUUUAUCAGCUAACUGUUUAGUUUUGAGCUUUUCUUUAAUGCACUUUUCAGUUAACAAGUCAACAUCAAUUUCUUUUGCUGUAAAAAAGCUUGAGGAAGGUGGCUUGAGAUUCGUCUUAAGUGUUUAUAGCCUCUUGCCUAUGCAGUCGGAGAGAUUGAGGUCUGCAGCGUAGAUCCUUCGGGGCUAAAUGCAUUUGUGCUAAGUUAUAGCAUUUUAUAGACAACUUGUUGACUAUGAUUUGUCUUGUAGCUUACUCGCUUAUGCUAUUUUACCUACGCUUAGGAUGUUGAUGUGAUACUGCGAGCA